GCAAACUUGCUAGAACUCAUCUUUGACAGGUAACAUUUUUUUUCUUCUCCUUUUUUUUUCUCUCUUUUUUUAGGUCAAGCGAGAAAGAUAUAUUUUUGUUCAACAAGAUGGUCCACGCAUGAGGAAGACAAUCUUGAGGUGUGAGGGGAUGAGUAUUUAUCCUCGCCCAAAUAUUAGAGGGAUUACUUUUAUGGCUUGAUUCUUGGAGAGAUUACUCUCAAUGUGGCCCAAUUUUUGGAGAGAUUACUCUCAAAAUGACCCGAUUUUAUGAGUGAUUACUCUUUUUUUCAAUAUGGCCCGAUUCUUGGAGAGAUUACUCCCAGUGUGGCCCAAUUCUUCGAGAGAUUACUCUCAAUGUGGCCCGAUUCUUGGAGAGAUUACUCUAAAUGUAGCCCAAUUCUUGGAGAAAUUACUCCCAAAAUGGCCCGAUUCUUGGAGAGAUUACUCUCAAUAUGACCAAAUUCUUGGAGAGAUUACUCUCAAUGUGGCCCAAUUCUUGGAGAGAUUACUCUCAAAAUGGCCCGACUAUCGGAGAGGCUAACUUAAGGUGCAAAGGGACUCAUAUGUCCACCUUAAGAUUGAAAAGUUAUAGUUCCUUUUGAAUACAAACCCACGAAGAGGCCAAUUUAAGGUGCAAAGGAACUUAUAUGUCCACCUUAAGAUUGGAAAGUUAUAAAGCUUCAACUUGAAGACGACAUCAACUUGAACAUUUGGAAAAUUUUAAAGAUUUGGCAGACUUUGCAGACUUCAACUCGAAGAUUCAAAGGGCUUAAAUAAUUCAACUUUAAGAUCGACAAAUUUGAAGACUGAAACUUGAAGACUAACAAACUUGAAGACAUCAACCUGAAGGCUUAAAUAUUUCAAUUUUAAGACCGGCAAAUUUUAAGACUUCAACUUGAAUACCGACAGACUUGAAGACUUUAACUCUGAGACUUGAGGGCCUAAAUAUUUCAACUUGAAGAUCGGCGAAUUUGAUGACUUCAACUUGAAGACCGACAGACUUGAACACUUUAACUUUGAGUAUCGACGGACUUGAAAAUAUCAAUUUACCACUGUUGGUUGCCCCUUUUAAAUCAAAUGAGAUCAAAGUUCCACAAGAGGAUGGAAUUUCACCUUGAUUUUGCAUUCCUCCAUACUUCACUCGGACAAUAAUUGGGGCAAUAUGCAUCUUUUGAACUUAUGCGACUGAACUUAGAAUGAAACUCUAAGCUGCCUACGUACCUCGUUGAAGAGGAUCAAUUCAUACAGUAGUUCAGACUGGGUAGAUUUUUUUUUUUACAUCCUAACUUUUGCCUAGGUCGCCUCUUUCGAGUUUUCAACCUAGCGAACAUUUUUUUUACAUCCUAACUUUUGCCUAGGCCGCCUCUUUUGAGAUUUUCAACCUAGCAGAUAUUUUUUCGUACGUCUUAACUUUUGCCUAGGCCGCCUCUUUUGAGAUUUUAAACCUAGCGAAUAUUUUUUUUUGGCCACACACAGUUUAUACUCUUGCGAGCCAGGAGUGUAGCAACAUGGAGUUUAGGCUUGUGCAUCAAGGAGUGUUGCAACUUCAAGGAUAAUUCUUCUUCAUAAACUUGCCAUUGAUAGGUACGAUCCUCAUAUUAUCUGCAUCAACCAGCUUGUAAGCCCCACUUGAGUAAACUUCUUGUACGACAUAUGGCCUAUCCCACUUUGAAGUGAACUUCCUUACCAGUUUGUGGAAAGUAAUUAUGGGUCUUCAUACGGUAAGGACUUGAUCUCCUACUUGAAAGGAUCUUAGACGAACUUUUUUAUUGAAGGCACGAGACAAUCGAGCUUGAUAAUAUUCAAGACUCUGUUGAGAUUCCAACCUCUUCUCAUCAAGGGACUCUAACUAUGCUAAUCGAAGUCGAGCAUUUUCUUCAUCAGUGAUCCCUUCUUGAAUAGCCAGUUGUAACGAAGGUAUUUGACGCUCAAGUGGAAAAACGGCUUCGACCCCAUAAUCGAGUGAAUAAGGAGUCGCCUGUGUCAGCGUGCGGUGAGUCGUCCUAUAUGCCUAUAGAGCUUCUUCCAUACGGUCAUUCCAAUCCCGUUUGGAUUUGGAGACGACUUUCUUUAACAAGUUGCAUAGAGUCUUGUUGAAUGCCUCGGCUAGACCAUUGGCGGCAACAUUGUACGUCGAAGAGUUACGUUGCUUGACGCCAAAGAGCUCACAAAUCUUUUUCAUCAACUUAUUGCCGAACGGCUUGCCAUUAUCCGUUAUUAUGUAACGGGGAAUGCCAAAGCGAUAGAUGAUAGAUGAUGUUCACUCGAAUGAAACUUGCAACAUUUUCCUUCUUUACCUCCUUAAGAGCGAUAGCUUCAGCCCAUUUUGAGAAGUAGUCAGUUGCAGCCAAGAUGUAUAGGUAGCCACCAUAGGACUUUGGCAGUGGUCCAACAACAUCCAAUCCCUAAGCGUCAAAUGGCCAGGAUGCAACAGUCGGAUGCAACAUUUUAGGAGGUUGAUGAAUAAAAUGUGCAUGGAAUUGACAAGCCUUGCAUAUUCGAGCGUAGUCCAACUAAUCUUUUACCAUCGUUGGCCAAUAAUAUCCCGUCCUUUUUAUAUGGAAGUGGAGCUUUGGUCCAGACUGGUGUGACCCACAUACCCUAGAAUGUGCCUCUUGCAAAGCUUGGAGAGCUUCUUUUUCUCCUAGGCAUUGCAAGAGUACUCCCUCAAACGACUUUCUGUAUAGAGUAUCCUUGCAAUAAGGAAGCGAGGCGCACGACGACGAAUUUCAGUGCUUCUCCUCGGAUUAUCUGGAAGUAUCCCAUAGCAUAAGUAGUCGAUAAUGGGUUGGCGCAUGCUUCUUUCUCAACUUCAGAAACAGCAACAAGAUGCUCGAGUUCGUUUCUUCACCUUCAGCCUCAUUUGGCGGCGGUACUACCCAUUGAUUGCAAACAGUAACUUGCGCUUGAUCAGGCAGGGUUAAAGAUGAAGCUAGGACAGCUAAAGCAUCGGCCUUCUUAUUUUCUUUCCUUAGCACAUGCUGAAUAGUCACAUCACCGAGCCAUCCCAUCAAUUUUUUAGCGUAAUCCUGAUAUGGGCGUAGUUCAUGCUUCUUAACCUCGUAACUACCCAAAAUCUGGUUGACCACUAACUGAGAGUCACCAAAGACUCGCAAUUGCAACUGCUUCAUAUCAACGGCAAUUUCAAGCCCAAAUAUUAAUGCUUGAUACUCAGCAACAUUGUUGGAACAGAGUUGUGUCAAGGUGAAGGAGUAGGGCAAGACUUCACAUUGGGGAGUGACAAAUACAACUUGAUCCUCAGCAACAUUGUUGGAACAGAGUUGUGUCAAGGUGAAGGAGUAGGGCAAGACUUCACACUGGGGAGUGACAAAUACAACGCCAGCCCCAGCUCCCCCACGAUGCGCGGCGGCAUCAAAGUACAUCUUCUAUGGAGGUUGAACAUCAACGACCAUUGCGUCCUCAUCUGGUAGUUCAUCAGUAAGCUCCCAGUCAUCAGGUAUCGGAUAAUCUGCCAAGAAAUCUGGCAAUGCUUGUCCUUUUAAAGCCUUUUGAAGGAUGUACAAAAUCUCAAAUUGUUGAAAUUGGAGGUACCACCUUACUAUUUGAUCACCAAGAACAGGUUUUGACAUCACGAACUUGAUGGGAUUUGCUUUAGAAAUAAGACGGACAACAUGAGCUUGGAAGUAGUGCUUCAAAUUUUGAAUGAGAAGACUAGCGCCAACCAUAACUUCUCAAUUGGCGAAUAAUUGAACUCGUUUGGUGUCAUAUUUUGCAUCUUCAUCUUCUUGAGGGUCCCCAUUACUGAAGGAUAUGUGAUAACACGGCGAAACAUCCUCCUAUUAUGCAUUAUCUUCCAUUGAACAUGGAAUGCCAUUCUCGACUUUUACAGUAACAUGAUACGAAGAACCCACACUUUCUUCGUCUUCAUCAUGUUCCUUCUUCCUGGUACAGGGGCUGCUAAAACGGGAGGCUUCAUCAAGUAGGAAUUAAUGCUCUCAAAGGCAUUACUGCAUGCUUGGUCCCAUCUAAAAGGGAUACCUUUCUUCAUAAGGCGACUGAAUGGUUAGCACCUCCCAUCUAGGUUCGAAAUGAACCUCCUAAGGUACGAUAGCUUUCCUUGCAGACUUUUCAAUUCAUGGAUAUCUCGAGGCUCAGGCAUUUUCAAAAUGGCNNNNNNNNNNNNNNNNNNNNNNNNNNNNNNNNNNNNNNNNNNNNNNNNNNNNNNNNNNNNNNNNNNNNNNNNNNNNNNNNNNNNNNNNNNNNNNNNNNNNNNNNNNNNNNNNNNNNNNNNNNNNNNNNNNNNNNNNNNNNNNNNNNNNNNNNNNNNNNNNNNNNNNNNNNNNNNNNNNNNNNNNNNNNNNUUCCGAUCUACCAAAAUCUAUUUACCCUUUUUCAUGUGGUCGCCUUUGUCUAUUGAUUUCACCACCAAGUUGUCAACAUAGCAUUCGACAUUUUUGUGGAGAAGAUCAUCGAAAAUAUUUUGCAUAACCCUUUGGUAAGUAGCACCAGCAUUCUUCAAGCCAAAUGGCAUUAUCUUGUAGCAAUAAAUACCGUUCGGAGUGCGGACGCAGUAAGCUCUUCAUCUUUUGGUGCCAUGAGAAUUUGGUUAUAGCCCGAAGAAUCGUCCAUGAAAGACAUUGCCUCGUAACCAGUAGUAGCAUCGAUCAUCAGCUCUGGAAUAGGAAACGGGAAUUCAUCUUUUGGGACAUGCAUUAUUGAGGUCCCUGAAGUCAGCGCAUACUCGAAUCCGGCCAUUCUUCUUCCUUACAGGGACAAUACUUGAAAACCAUGUUAGGUAUUUAACUUCCCGAAUAAAUCCAGCUUCAACGAGUUUGUUAACUUCAACUUCAAUCACGGGAACCAAGUCCGGCCUGAAGCGCCUUUGAUCUUGUUUAACAGGGCGGGCACCAUUUUUGAAUGCAAGGUGAUGGACUGCUACUUACGGGUCCAAGCCAGGCAUCUCUUUGUAACUCCGAGCGAAGACAUCCCUGAACUCUUUGAGUAACUCAAUAUAGGCGGUUUCUUCAUCAGCUUCGAGUAAAGCACCUAGGUAGGUGGGUCUUGGUUCUUCAUCGGUGCCAAGGUUAACUUCUUUUAAGGCAUCAACCGUAGUCUUCACUCCUUCUUCAAGUUUAGGUAGAGCAUCUUUCGCAUCUUCAUCUUCUUGAGGAUCCCCAUCAUUGAAUGAUAUGUGAUAACAUGGUGAAACAUGCUCCAAUUCUGCGUUAUCCUUCAUCGAAGACGGAACACUUCUUGAGGAUCCCCAUCAUUGAAGGAUAUGUGAUAACAUGGUGAAAUAUUCUCCAAUUCUACGUCAUCCUUCAUCGAAGACGGAACACCAUUCUUGAUUUGUACAGUGACAUGAUACGAAGAACCUACACUUUCUUCAUCUUCGUCACGUUCCUUAGUGUAGACCAUAGUAUAUGGCUUUACCUUCAGUAUUUCUUCACAUGAAACUACACGUUUUGUUUUUCGCUCAUUCUAGAAGGAACCAGACUUUGGAAAUCUUUAGAGAUCUCCUGGAUAUUGGGUGAAGCGGGUGUUCUUAUGCUUCGAAAAUUUCUCCGGAACUUGUUCCCCUUAUUUAUUGGACCCAAUAUUUCAAACACGGAGGUCCUCGCAGGUCAUCUUCAGAGUCGAUCAAAGAUAGAAGGCUUGUUAGAAGCGGCUGAUUCAUCUUCUAUGGUGAUAUACUUGCUACUCUCCCUUCUUAUUGAAAUAUGCACUGGUGACGGUUGCUUGUAUCCCAAACCUUUAUGCGGUUGCCUCGUUGGGAUUUUAUCCAGCUUUUUCAAAUAACUUUUAAGCAUUGGGGUCAAAAUCUUCAUUUGUUUUCUUUGUAAGGAGUGCCACAUUCUGCAAAUGAUUUUGGGCUACAAACCCUACAAGCGGCAUUGAGGACGACUUUACUGCCUCAAUUUGUUUAACCGGAAGAGUUAACUCCUUUGGCAUGUUGAUUUGGAUAUUAUAUGACUCGCCCUUGUCUUUCUUCCUUUUAGGGACAUAUUGGAGUACGGGACUUACUUUCUUUCCACAUGACACAAUGCCCCCUUUAUGAGAUUUAUUCAUGUUGGCAGGCAUCUCCUUUGUAACAGCUUUGGCUUUACCCAUGGUUGCCUCAACUCUUUUAGUUAUGGGUUCGUCAUUCUUUCUUUUCAUACCAUCAUCAGCUUUCAGCUCCUUCACAAUGCGAUUCUUCAAGUACCUCAACUCUUUUAGUUAUUGGUUCGUCAUUCUUGCUUUUCAUACCAUCAUCGGCUUUCAAAUCCUUCACAAUGCGGUUCUUCAAGUAGAACUUUGCAUCGACGAAGUGUGACUCAGCCUCGGUGAAUGGCUCAUCAUCAACAACUAUCGUCUUCUCGACUUCACCGUAGUAGUAUUUUAAACAUUGAUGGUAGGUAGAUGGAACAAUUUUAUUCUCAUGUAUCCAAGGCCUCCCAAGCAAAACAUUGUAUGAAGUCUCCGCGUAUAUCACAUGCAGCCAUGCACUUGAUUGCAUAUCUUCAAUAGUGAUUCCCAGCCUGAUCGCGCCUUUGGCUCUCUGGCCCCCUUGGUUGAAUCCUUGGAUCAUCACACGACUUUCUGAGAGUUCUUUCAUGGGAAUGCCAAGUUCUUUCACACUGUGGAUUGGCAAAAUGUUCACUGAGGAUUCUCCAUCAACCAAAAUCUAUUUACCCUUUCAUCGCAUAUAUAGCCAACCAGGUACAAUAGGCGGUUAUGAGGAGUGUCACCUAGCAAAAUAUCGUCAUUUGUGAACGUGACCUUUUCCUCACAAGCAUUAACUUCUUGAGGAGUGGAGUAGAUAGACUUUUCCGAAUAUGGUGUCAACGGUAGGUCAUCACUCUUUUCUUCCCCUUUGUCAGUGUGGCAACAAGAGGCAUUAAUGUCCUCAUGGGAAAUAUUCGUGCGGAACCAACUUGGUAAAAAUUCCUCCAAGGUUACUGGAUUUCGUGGCCUUUGAGGGUGGUGCAUCUCCACCUUUGCCUUCUUCAAAUGCCUAAUUGGAUUCUUUUUCAUUGGUCUUUUUACCAUCAUCUUCCUUGUUGGUUGUUCUAUUGAUUCUUUUGGUGGGCUCCUUUUGUAGCGCCUACGAUAAGUCACCAACAUCCAUCCUUCAUCAUCAUCAGGUUGGUUGACUUCAGCUUUGUUUCUCUCUAAUAAUUCUUCAUCUUUAAUUUCUUUAAAACCACAUAACUUAUCCGGACUGAAUGAGCCAAAGGUGAUAGAAACUUGGUUUGCGCUCGCUUUCUCAUCUUCAAGAACAAUCUUCUUUUCGCGAGCCAAGUCCAUUAUCUUAUCCUUAAAGACAAAGCACUUCUCCAGAGGGUGUACAAGUCGGUGAUAUUUGCAGUAAUUUGGGUCAUUUGUUUUCCCAACUUCAUUUGGUCGCUUCAUCCUCUUUUCGCAAGCCAAGUCCAUGGCCUUAUCCUUAAAGACAAAGCACUUCUCCAGAGGAUGGCUUACAAGUCGGUGAUAUUUGCAGUAAUUUGGUUCAUUUGUUUUCCCAACUUCAUUUGGUCGAUUCAUCUCCAGAAGCUCAAUGAGAUUUAACUCGAGGAGCUCUUCGAAAAUGGCUGGCACAUUAGAAUCCAGGAAUGGGUACUAUUUCUCUUGCAUUUCUUUUUGAGUCAACUUUCCACUUGGCUUGCCUUGAAAAGAAGUGGAUUUCAUACUCGGCUUCUUGCUGACCUUCGCCGUGAACUUCAUCGUUAAUGUAUUGACACUCAUAGCUUCUUUGCUUUCAUACUUGGGUAUGAACUUGCCCCACUUCCUAACUUCUUGAUUGUUAUUGGCUUUGCGAGGUUCAUAGAUGGGCAUCCUUUCAUUUCCAGCGGAGGCCAUGCUCAAUUCCAUGUCAUGGGCACGAGUUGCAAGUUCUUCAAAU
rnacentral:lncRNA from 1 species